ensembl:lncRNA
UUGACUGAUCCCCAUUGACUUUGAAUGGGGACGGACGCGCAAUGCAUUGUGGAUCCGUCCGUUCCGUUGGGUCAAAAAGUUGAAAAAUGUUCAACUUUUUCGGCAGCGACGGAUCCGUCAUCCAAUCAGAUCGCCUAUGCAAAUUUAAGCACUGUGACGCGAAUCGGGCUCUGACGAUACUGGAAAGCGGGAAAGCGGGUCAUCUUGCAUCGCAACAAGCAGGAAGAAGCGGGAAGAACCCGGCGAAGCGAUUUGAUUGGCUGACGGAUGCCUCUGCAAAGACUACUCCCCCAUCAGUCAGCCACACAUUCCCACGUCCGUUGACUGACGGUGCAGUGGGCACGAAGCGUAAAAGUUCAGGACACCAGGAGAGGUCAAAGGUCACCAGUGCUCAGUCUGUACAGCAGCCUCAAACAGAGCUGGAGAUGAACCAGGAGGAACUGGCUGACACACUGGGGGGCGGUAAGAGACUCUUACUUUGAAGACAGAGGAGACUAUUAUUUUGAAGGGCAAAAGAGAUCUUAUUUUGAAAAAAGAGAAGAAAUUAUAUUUUUAAGUAGCAGUAUCUUUCCUCUGUGGGUUAAAUGGUGUAGGGUUAUUGUGGGGGUAUCAGGUAAAUGGUUUCGUCCAUAUAUGUAGAGUUAUGGUGGGGGUAUCAGGUUAAAGGGUUUGAUCCAGAUAUGUAGGGUUAUUGUGUGGGUAUUAGGUUAAGUGGUUUGAUCCAGAUAUGUAGGGUUAUUGUUAUUGUUGGGUAUCGUUUGGGUUCUAUCAGAUACCGGUGCCAACUCUGUACUUUUCAAACGGUUCCGGUGCUAAAACGGUUCUCGAAUCGGUACUUAAAAAAUCGAAACCGCACACGCUUGCAUACAUGCACGACUUGUUAUGAGUUUCACAUUAAGCAGAAAGUCAGCGGACACUGAGUUGAAUGGCAACGGUGUUUGCUAGCCUACUUGAUAUGCAAGAUUUAUGGUUGGCAUUAAAUUACUCGACUUACCCCAAGAGGAAAGGCUGAUGUGAGUGCUGUGACUAAAGGUGCGGCCACACCAGACGCGUAUCUCGCGUACUUCGCGUAUAAAAUCGCCAUUUUUUCCAUAGGGAACCAUUGGUUUACGCGCGUAUUACGCGUUUCACGCAUAUAAGCAACAUUUUACGCGCGUAUAGCGCGUAUGUGGCGUGUAUAUUUACGCGCAAUACGCGCUAUACGCGCGUAUAUCGCGUACAUUUCAAGAGUUCAAAAAAAUGAACUUUUUACGCUCAUACGCAUGACGAUUAGCCGCGUUGCCCAAUCAGCGUUGAGCUUGACCCGACGUCACUGGCAGAGAGUAGUGAGCUUGGACAGAAGCAUACGGCUGACAUCUUUCUUUAUUCUGUGUGGAAAUAGUAACAUAGUUACGCCAUUAAAUGCUUUUAUGGAAACAUUUCUAGCGAGAAAUGUGCAUUUUACUUUCAUAAUGUUCGCUCGGUGAAUGUGAAGGAUGUUUGGUUUGAUAGUUAUGACGAAGAGGGAACGCUCCGUUCACUUGCAUGGACAGAGUCUCUGGUUACUAAGCAACCUCAACGUCUUGGCGGACUAUAUAUCUGCUGAUCAACACUACGAAUGCUGGAAACACACCAGACACACCAUGUAAAGUUAUUUAACCCGAUUAUUGUUAUUUAUAUCCGAGAUUAUUUAAUCUAACCCGAUCUAAACUCUAUCACCCAAACACGGCGGCGUUUGGGUUUCCUACCUCGGACUCCAGCGCAGCCACGGCCGACAACUUUCUUUAUUCUGGGUGGAAAUAGUAACAUAGUUACGCCAUUAAAUGCUUUUAUGGAAACAUUUCUAGCGAGAAAUGUGCAUUUUACUUUCAUAAUGUUCGCUCUGUGAAUGUGAAGGAUGUUUGGUUUGAUAGUUAUGACGAAGAGGGAACGCUCCGUUCACUUGCAUGGACAUGGACUCAUCUAGGCGAGUGACGUAGGCGCGUAUGGCGCGUAUGCGACCAUUUUUGACACAAAAUGGUCAAGCAACAUUUUACGCGCGUAUCUCGCGUAAAAAUUACGCGAGAUACGCGUCUGGUGUGGCCGCACCUUGAGGAAUAUCUUUUUAAAAAAUAUUAAUAAUUA